GAAUGUGAGGGUGACCUGUCACCCCACUGAUCUCCACAUUGAUCUGAUUUGGUCAGCUAGGAGAUGUCCCCUUCCUCACCACUGCACAUGCAUCCCUUCCACAACUGCACUCAGCGGAGGAGGAUCACCUUCCCCAAUACAGGACUGUUCUUUGGUGAAGGGAAUAGGUGUAGGUGCCCUUCCCUGCUAGACAAGCCCUCAAGGUCCAUUUGCAGGAGAACACAGGGUAGUCAAACUUCUAAGACCUACCACCCUCACCCCCAAAUUAAAGCUGUGCAUUAAGUU
ensembl:misc_RNA 7SK 7SK RNA